rnacentral:rRNA from 1 species
AAUGAACGCUGGCGGCAUGCCUUACACAUGCAAGUCGAACGGCAGCAUGACCUAGCUUGCUAGGUUGAUGGCGAGUGGCGAACGGGUGAGUAAUGCAUCGGAACGUGCCUUUUAGUGGGGGAUAACGUAGCGAAAGUUACGCUAAUACCGCAUAUUCUCUGAGGAGGAAAGCAGGGGACCUUCGGGCCUUGCGCUAGAAGAGCGGCCGAUGUCGGAUUAGCUAGUUGGUGAGGUAAAGGCUCACCAAGGCAACGAUCCGUAGCGGGUCUGAGAGGAUGAUCCGCCAAACUGGGACUGAGACACGGCCCAGACUCCUACGGGAGGCAGCAGUGGGGAAUUUUGGACAAUGGGCGCAAGCCUGAUCCAGCCAUGCCGCGUGAGUGAAGAAGGCCUUCGGGUUGUAAAGCUCUUUCGGCUGGGAAGAAAUCGCACCCUCUAAUACAGGGUGUGGAUGACGGUACCAGCAUAAGAAGCACCGGCUAACUACGU